ensembl:lncRNA
AUGCAUGGCAGGUCUUUAAAUUUACAAAAAUGAAACAUGUAUGUACAACACAAUUAAUUUAUGUUUCGGUUGUGAACAUGCUUUAAUCAAGUAGAUUUCACUUGUUCAUAAUGAAUGUUGUAUGUACACAUUUCUCUCACGUUAAUUGAAAGUGAUUGAAUCUAAAACUGAAAUCAAUCUAAUUGAGUUUUGACACAACCGGAGCAGAUGGUGGCGGUAUUGCAUCAUGGAGAGGGAUGACAAACUGCGUAAAAGGAGAAAUUGAAUCGAGCGCCAAAAACUUUGAAGAUUCAGCAGCUCGCCUAAUCUCAGACGACAACGAUUCAGUGGGAAGUCCAUCUUUGCGCACACACAAGCUUUAUAUGGGUAAGUAUUUUAAUUUACUUUUCUUUUACGGUUAAAUCUUUAUUUUUGUGACUAAGAUACACAUAAUUCAAAAUAUACAUUUUGUCAUUCCAAAUAAACCAGAAAUUUUAAAUGUAAAUUUUUUUUUU